AUUGAACGCUGGCGGCAGGCCUAACACAUGCAAGUCGAGCGGAUGAAGGGAGCUUGCUCCUGGAUUCAGCGGCGGACGGGUGAGUAAUGCCUAGGAAUCUGCCUGGUAGUGGGGGAUAACGUCCGGAAACGGGCGCUAAUACCGCAUACGUCCUGAGGGAGAAAGUGGGGGAUCUUCGGACCUCACGCUAUCAGAUGAGCCUAGGUCGGAUUAGCUAGUUGGUGGGGUAAAGGCCUACCAAGGCGACGAUCCGUAACUGGUCUGAGAGGAUGAUCAGUCACACUGGCACUGAGACACGGUCCCGACUCCUACGGGAGGCAGCAGUGGGGAAUAUUGGACAAUGGGCGAAAGCCUGAUCCAGCCAUGCCGCGUGUGUGAAGAAGGUCUUCGGAUUGUAAAGCACUUUAAGUUGGGAGGAAGGGCAGUAAGUUAAUACCUUGCUGUUUUGACGUUACCAACAGAAUAAGCACCGGCUAACUUCGUG
rnacentral:rRNA from 1 species